rnacentral:rRNA from 1 species
AACGAACGCUGGCGGCAGGCUUAACACAUGCAAGUCGAGCGCCCCGCAAGGGGAGCGGCAGACGGGUGAGUAACGCGUGGGAAUCUACCCAUCUCUACGGAAUAGCGCAUGGAAACGUGUGCUAAUACCGUAUACGUCCUUCGGGAGAAGGAUUUAUCGGAGAUGGAUGAGCCCGCGUUGGAUUAGCUAGUUGGUGGGGUAAAGGCCUACCAAGGCGACGAUCCAUAGCUGGUCUGAGAGGAUGAUCAGCCACACUGGGACUGAGACACGGCCCAGACGCCUACGGGAGGCAGCAGUGGGGAAUAUUGGACAAUGGGCGCAAGCCUGAUCCAGCCAUGCCGCGUGAGUGAUGAAGGCCCUAGGGUUGUAAAGCUCUUUCACCGGUGAAGAUAAUGACGGUAACCGGAGAAGAAGCCCCGGCUAACUUCGUGCCAGCCGCCGCCGUAAUAC